AAGUCGAGCGCACCUUCGGGUGAGCGGCGGACGGGUGAGUAACGCGUGGGAACGUGCCCUUCUCUGCGGAAUAGCCACUGGAAACGGUGAGUAAUACCGCAUACGCCCUUCGGGGGAAAGAUUUAUCGGAGAAGGAUCGGCCCGCGUUAGAUUAGGUAGUUGGUGGGGUAAUGGCCUACCAAGCCUACGAUCUAUAGCUGGUUUGAGAGGAUGAUCAGCCACACUGGGACUGAGACACGGCCCAGACUCCUACGGGAGGCAGCAGUGGGGAAUCUUAGACAAUGGGCGCAAGCCUGAUCUAGCCAUGCCGCGUGAGUGAUGAAGGCCUUAGGGUCGUAAAGCUCUUUCGCUGGGGAAGAUAAUGACUGUACCCAGUAAAGAAACCCCGGCUAACUCCGUGCCAGCAGCCGCGGUAAUACGGAGGGGGUUAGCGUUGUUCGGAAUUACUGGGCGUAAAGCGCGCGUAGGCGGAUCAGAAAGUUGGGGGUGAAAUCCCGGGGCUCAACCUCGGAACUGCCUCCAAAACUCCUGGUCUUGAGUUCGAGAGAGGUGAGUGGAAUUCCGAGUGUAGAGGUGAAAUUCGUAGAUAUUCGGAGGAACACCAGUGGCGAAGGCGGCUCACUGGCUCGAUACUGACGCUGAGGUGCGAAAGUGUGGGGAGCAAACAGGAUUAGAUACCCUGGUAGUCCACACCGUAAACGAUGAAUGCCAGUCGUCGGCAAGCAUGCUUGUCGGUGACACACCUAACGGAUUAAGCAUUCCGCCUGGGGAGUACGGUCGCAAGAUUAAAACUCAAAGGAAUUGACGGGGGCCCCGCACAAGCGGUGGAGCAUGUGGUUUAAUUCGAAAGCAACGCGCAGAACCUUACCAACCCUUGACAUCCUAGGACCGCCAGAGAGAUCUGGCUUUCACUUCGGUGACCUAGUGACAGGUGCUGCAUGGCUGUCGUCAGCUCGUGUCGUGAGAUGUUCGGUUAAGUCCGGCAACGAGCGCAACCCACAUCUUCAGUUGCCAGCAGUUCGGCUGGGCACUCUGGAGAAACUGCCCGUGAUAAGCGGGAGGAAGGUGUGGAUGACGUCAAGUCCUCAUGGCCCUUACGGGUUGGGCUACACACGUGCUACAAUGGUGCCUACAGUGGGUUAAUCCCCAAAAGGCAUCUCAGUUCGGAUUGUCGUCUGCAACUCGACGGCAUGAAGUCGGAAUCGCUAGUAAUCGCGUAACAGCAUGACGCGGUGAAUACGUUCCCGGGCCUUGUACACACCGCCCGUCACACCAUGGGAGUUGGGUCUACCCGAAGACGGUGCGCCAACCUUUCGAGGGGCAGCU
rnacentral:rRNA from 1 species